rnacentral:rRNA from 1 species
UACGAAGGGGGCUAGCGUUGCUCGGAAUCACUGGGCGUAAAGCGCACGUAGGCGGCUUGUUAAGUCAGGGGUGAAAUCCUGGAGCUCAACUCCAGAACUGCCUUUGAUACUGGCAAGCUUGGAGUCCGGGAGAGGUGAGUGGAACUGCGAGUGUAGAGGUGAAAUUCGUAGAUAUUCGCAAGAACACCAGUGGCGAAGGCGGCUCACUGGCCCGGUACUGACGCUGAGGUGCGAAAGCGUGGGGAGCAAACGGG